CUACAAAGGAAUUGACGGGGGCCCGCACAAGCGGUGGAGCAUGUGGGUUUAAUUCGAAGCAACGCGCAGAACCUUACCAGCCCUUGACAUACCGGUCGCGGACACAGAGAUGUGUCUUUCAGUUCGGCUGGACCGGAUACAGGUGCUGCAUGGCUGUCGUCAGCUCGUGUCGUGAGAUGUUGGGUUAAGUCCCGCAACGAGCGCAACCCUCGCCCUUAGUUGCCAGCAUUUAGUUGGGCACUCUAAGGGGACUGCCGGUGAUAAGCCGAGAGGAAGGUGGGGAUGACGUCAAGUCCUCAUGGCCCUUACGGGCUGGGCUACACACGUGCUACAAUGGUGGUGACAGUGGGCAGCGAGCACGCGAGUGUGAGCUAAUCUCCAAAAGCCAUCUCAGUUCGGAUUGCACUCUGCAACUCGAGUGCAUGAAGUUGGAAUCGCUAGUAAUCGCGGAUCAGCCAAGCCGCGGUGAAUACGUUCCCGGGCCUU
rnacentral:rRNA from 1 species